GACGUAGGAUGCGAGCGUUGUCCGGAUUUAUUGGGCGUAAAGAGUUCGUAGGCGGCAUAUCAAGUCUGGUGUCAAAGCGUGAUGCUCAACAUCAUACCGGCAUUGGAUACUGAUAAGCUAGAGUGCAGUAGAGGCAAGGGGAAUUCCCAGUGUAGCGGUGAAAUGCGUAGAUAUUGGGAGGAACACCAGUGGCGUAAGCGCCUUGCUGGGCUGUUACUGACGCUGAGGAACGAAAGCCAGGGGAGCAAAUGGG
rnacentral:rRNA from 1 species